AUGCUGCUCUCCAGCCUGCUGAGGGUAUUCAUGGCCUCUAUCUACUCUGACGGGGAAGUUUCCAGAAAAGGUUGCGACAUUCUGUUUUCUGAAACAGAUCUAGGCUGCAGAGCGUUCCUCUGCGGAGAUCCUUGGGUAGGAUCAAUGGAGAAGAGUCCUUUGGCAGCCUCGUUGCUAAUCUUGUGGCUUCAUCUUGGCCGAGUGUGCAGCGUAUUGGAUGUGAACCAGCAUCCUCUGUCGCUUCAUGUUCACGAAGGAGAAAACACCAAUUUCACCUGCCAUUUUCCUACCAGCGGUUUUUAUGGUUUACAGUGGUACAGAUGGGAACCUGCAAAAAGCCCCAAGUUCCUGUUUACAAUUGCUUUAAAUGGGGAUGAGAAGGAGGAAGGACGAGUAAAAGUCACUCUUGAUACUAAGAAGGGUUCUAGCUCCUUGUACAUCAAAGGAUCCCAGCCGGAAGAUGCUGCCACAUACCUCUGUGCCUUGACAGACACAGUGCUCUCCAGGCACCUGCAGCCCAUACCCAAACCCAUGGCUGGUGCUGCUCUGGUCUCAGCGUUGACAAGUGCCAUGUGCAGGGUGGAAAAGGCAAAUUCAUUGAGUUAA